AGUAAUACAUCGGAACGUGUCUUCUAGUGGGGGAUAACUGCCCGAAAGGGCAGCUAAUACCGCAUGAGACCUGAGGGUGAAAGCGGGGGAUCGCAAGACCUCGCGCUGGAAGAGCGGCCGAUGUCCGAUUAGCUAGUUGGUGAGGUAAAGGCUCACCAAGGCGACGAUCGGUAGCUAGUCUGAGAGGACGACCAGCCACACUGGGACUGAGACACGGCCCAG
rnacentral:rRNA from 1 species